CAGUAGCCGCGGGAAUACGGAGGGUGCGAGCGUUAAUCGGAUUUACUGGGCGUAAAGCGUGCGUAGGCGGCUUCUUAAGUCGGAUGUGAAAUCCCUGAGCUUAACUUAGGAAUUGCAUUCGAUACUGGGAAGCUAGAGUAUGGGAGAGGAUGGUAGAAUUCCAGGUGUAGCGGUGAAAUGCGUAGAGAUCUGGAGGAAUACCGAUGGCGAAGGCAGCCAUCUGGCCUAAUACUGACGCUGAGGUACGAAAGCAUGGGGAGCAAACAGGAUUAGAUACCCCCGUAGUCCCUGUCUCUUAUAC
rnacentral:rRNA from 1 species